rnacentral:rRNA from 1 species
GUUCAGGGAGGUAGUGACAAUAAAUACCUUACAGAGGUCUCGUUAACCGAGAUCUCUCAAACGGAAUGAGUACAACGUGAAUCCUUUAACGAGGAUCGACUGGAGGGCAAGCCUGGUGCCAGCAGCCGCGGUAAUUCCAGCUCCAGUAGCGUAUAUUAAAGCUGUUGCGGUUAAAAAGCUCGUAGUUGGAUAUCAGUGCGUGUCCGGUCCGGUAUGCCCGGCGGUGGCGUUCGCGCGUCGCUGCUGGGCUCCCAAAUAUCGGCUGGCCGCAUUCAAUCGUGCCGGAUCCGUCGGCGGGCCGUUCUUCGUAGGGGCCUGUUGGCGGCCGGCGAGGUUACCUUGAACAAAUUAGAGUGCUCAAAGCAGGCUCUGAAUGCCUGUAUACAUAUUCAUGGAAUUGGAGAAUACGUCCCUGGCUCGAUUUGGUUGGUUUUGCGAGUCGAAGGGAAAUGAUUAAUAGGGACUGACGGAGGCAUUCGUAUUGCGACGCGAGGGGUGAAAUCCUGUGACCGUCGCACGACGAACUACUGCGAAAGCAUUUGCCGAGAAUGUUUUCAUUAGUCAAGAACGAAAGUUAGAGGUUCGAAGGCGAUCAGAUACCGCCCUAGUUCUAACCGUAAACGAUGUCGACCAGCAAUCCGCAACGGUCACUACACGGACUGUGCGGGCAGCUUCCCCGGGGAAACCAGAGUUUUUGGACUCCGGGGGAAGUAUGGUUGCAAAGCUGAAACUUAAAGGAAUUGACGGAAGGGCACCACCAGGAGUGGAGCUUGCGGCUUAAUUUGACUCAACACGGGACAACUCACCAGGCCCGGACACCGUAAGGAUUGACAGACUGAUAGCUCUCUCUUGAUUCAGUGGGUGGUGGUGCAUGGCCGUUCUU